rnacentral:misc_RNA from 1 species
ACACACACACACACACACACACACACAAGAAAUGAGGUCAAAGAAAUUUCAGUAAAUACAUCAAAACCAAUUAAAAUCAAGACUGAGUGCUUAAAGUACCUGUGAUUUGUAUUUUGUAGCUCCUUGAGACACUAAAAUAUCAACUAUAAGAAGGUCAAACUAAACUAGUUAUUUCCACUCCCUCAUCAUAAAUGUGGAGCACAGCUUGUUAACUUCUGCUCCAAGUGUACCUUGUAUAUAUGAUCCCCAUGAGCAAAUGGCAUGUCAACUCCAUUGCUCCACAAAUGUUUCCCCUGACUGUCUUGACUUUGACAACCAGAAAAAAUUGGAGAGCAGCAACAAAGAAAUUGGAUUCUUUCUUUCUUAAAGCUUAAUAACCGUCUUUUGGCUCCUAGACCAAUCAAUAAAAUUGAAUACUUUAUACAAAACAUGGAUAUCCCUAUAGCUCUAGCCUGAAGAUGUUAGGGUGGGUAUAGCGUGGGGAACAAGCACUGCUUCACUACCUGCAGCUUUUCUUGCAGCAAUCUCUUCUAAGUGCUUCCAUGUGGCUUCGUGUUUCACCUUCAUAUCUUCUGCCCUUGCUUCAUCUUCUUGAAAUUGCUUUAAGCACUCUUCAAACAGCUCAGGAUCAACAUCAGCAAAGAUCUUGCGAACAUUAACAGUUAAGCUCUGCACCACCUGAUUCCAGUGAUUACUUCCAUUCUUUUCCAAGGCAGGGAAGAUGAUGGGCAGUAUAACUUUUCGGUUCUGUCUGAUUAAGUUCUCAAUAUGAUCAUUGUUCCACAAGUACAAAGCCCUUUCUGCCACCUGGAAGUGUGAACUGCUCAAGCAACGAGCUAUCUGUCGGAACAGGGGAACAACACAUCUUUGAAAUUCUGCUGGCUGGGUUGCUUCUAAGACUUCCUCCAGCUCACUUAGGAACAUUACCUCCUUUGAACUAUUAGUGAUAGGCCAAUACUUCAAUAAAGCCCUUAUAACAGUAUCUACAAGUUUGCAGUCUUUUUCCACAAACUGUGUAAUGCAGUAUGAUAACUGCUGAUGGUACAUAGGUAAGCACCUUGGCUUGUGAAGGGGGAUUAGUGCCCGAACAAGGAACAAUUUAUGUUCUUCUUUUAGCGGCAGAGCAAAUCCA